UACGUAGGGUGCGAGCGUUGUCCGGAAUUAUUGGGCGUAAAGAGCUCGUAGGCGGUGUGUCACGUCGGCCGUGAAAACCUGCAGCUUAACUGUGGGCGUGCGGUCGAUACGGGCAUCACUGGAGUUCGGCAGGGGAGACUGGAAUUCCUGGUGUAGCGGUGAAAUGCGCAGAUAUCAGGAGGAACACCCGUAGCGAAGGCGGCACUCUGGGCCGAUACUGACACUGAGGAGCGAAAGCGUGGGGAGCGAACAGG
rnacentral:rRNA from 1 species